AUCUAGCUGACAAGUCCCAAAUAGUGUGAAACGCGCGUCCUGGAU
rfam:Schistosoma mansoni, Puerto Rico, WGS project CABG01000000 data, contig: 0357